AGCAGCCGCGGUAAUUCCAGCUCCAAUAGCGUAUAUUAAAGUUGUUGCAGUUAAAAAGCUCGUAGUUGAAUUUCGGGACCAUCAUGUCGGUCGUGCCUCGGUACGUACUGGCAUUGUUGGUUUCUCCCUUCUGACGAACCAUGAUGUCAUUUAUUUGGUGUUGUGGGAAAUCAGGACUGUUACUUUGAAAAAUUAGAGUGUUUAAAGCAGGCUCACGCUUGAAUACAUUAGCAUGGAAUAAUGAAAUAGGACGUUUGAUUCUAUUUUGUUGGUUUCUAGGAUCGACGUAAUGAUUAAUAGGGAUAGUUGGGGGCAUUAGUAUUCAAUUGUCAGAGGUGAAAUUCUUGGAUUUAUUGAAGACUAACUACUGCGAAAAGCAUUUGCCAAGGAUGUUUUCAUUAAUCAAGAACGAAAGUUAGGGGAUCGAAGACGAUCAGAUACCGUCGUAGUCUUAACCAUAAACUAUGCCGACUAGGGAUCGGAUGAUGUUAAUUUUUAAUGACUCAUUCGGCGCCUUAAC
rnacentral:rRNA from 1 species